rnacentral:piRNA from 2 species
AGAAAUGAACAAAGAUUGGAGCUGAAG